rnacentral:rRNA from 1 species
GAUGAACGCUGGCGGCGUGCCUAAUACAUGCAAGUCGAGCGAACAGAUGAGGAGCUUGCUCCUCUGACGUUAGCGGCGGACGGGUGAGUAACACGUGGAUAACCUACCUAUAAGACUGGGAUAACUUCGGGAAACCGGAUCUAAUACCGGAUAAUAUAUUGAACCGCAUGGUUCAAUAGUGAAAGACGGUUUUGCUGUCACUUAUAGAUGGAUCCGCGCCGGAUUAGCUAGUUGGUAAGGUAACGGCUUACCAAGGCAACGAUGCGUAGCCGACCUGAUAGGGUGAUCGGCCAAACUGGAACUGAGACACGGUCCAGACUCCUACGGGAGGCAGCAGUGGGGAAUCUUCCGAAAUGGGCGAAAGCCUGACGGAGCAACGCCGCGUGAGUGAUGAAGGUCUUCGGAUCGUAAAACUCUGUUAGUAGGGAAGAACGAAUGUGUAAGUAACUAUGCACGUCUUGACGGUACCUAAACAGAAAGCCACGGCUAACUACGUG